GGGGGUACGUUAUCGGAAUAUUGCGGCGUAAGCGCGCGCAGGCGGUUUGUUAAGUCUGAUGUGAAAUCCCACGGCUCAACCUGGGAGGGGCAUUGGAAACUGGGAGACUUGAGUGCUGAAGAGGAGAGUGGAAUUCCAUGUGUAGCGGUGAAAUGCGUAGAGAUCUGGAGGAACACCGGUGGCGAAGGCGACUCUCUGGUCUGUAACUGACGCUGAGGCGCGAAAGCGUGGGGAGCAAACAGGAUUAGAUACCCUGGUAGUCCACGCCGUAAACGAUGACUGCUUGGUGUUAGAGGGCUUCCGCCCUUUAUUGCUGAACUUAACGCUUUAAUCACUCCGCCGGGGGAGUACGGCCGCAGGGCUGAAACUCAAAGGAUUUGACGGGGGCCCGCCCAACCGGGGAACCUGGUGGUUUAAUUCAUACCACCGCGAAAAACCUUACCACGCCUUGACUUCCUCUGACUUCCCUGAAAUGCUUUGUUCUCCUUCGGGACUCUAGAGACAGGGGUGGCAUGCUUGUCGCCGCUUCGGGUCGUGAGAGGUGGGGUAAGUUCCCCCACGAAGCGCACCCCUUGAUUUUGUUGCCAUCAUUCGGUUGGGACUCUAAGGGGACUGCCGGUGAUAAACCGGAGGAAGGUGGGGAUGACGUCAAUCAUCAUGGCCCUUUGACCUGGGCUACCACGUGCUCAAUGGCGGUACAAGAGUGCGAACCGCGAGAGGAGCUGACUCAUAAACCGUUCUCAGUCGGAUUGGAGCUGCACUCGCCUCAUGAAGUGGAAUCGCUAGAAUCGGGAUCAGAUGCUCGGUGAAUACGUUCCG
rnacentral:rRNA from 1 species